UACAGAGGGGGCAAGCGUUGUCCGGAAUUAUUGGGCGUAAAGAGCGCGUAGGCGGUCCGGUAAGUCGGGGGUGAAAGCCCGAGGCUCAACCUCGGAACUGCCUUCGAUACUGCGGGUCUCGAGUCCGGGAGAGGUGAGUGGAAUUCCUAGUGUAGAGGUGAAAUUCGUAGAUAUUAGGAAGAACACCAGUGGCGAAGGCGGCUCACUGGCCCGGUACUGACGCUGAGGCGCGAAAGCGUGGGGAGCAAACAGG
rnacentral:rRNA from 1 species